rnacentral:misc_RNA from 1 species
GAUUACUGCCAUGAUAUUUAUUUCUCUGAAGAUAACUAUUGUCGUUCUUGCAAUAAGACAUAUGAGCACUCUGGGAGUGACGUGAAUUUUUUCAAACAUGUGACUCAUUGUGAAGAGAGACUGAAGAUUGGGCUUGACUACAAUUUGCAUGGUUCAUCUUCUCCACUGAGGAUAAGGCUGCUUAAAUUGCAAUUAGCUUUGGUUGAGGUCUCUAUACUGCCAGAAGCUCUUCAACCUGUUUGGACUAAUAGUUAUCGAAAAUCAUGGGGAGCAAAGCUGCAGUCCUCAUCAUCAGCUGAAGACUUACUCGAGGUUCUAACGUUGUUGGAGGGCUGCAUUAAGAGAGAUUAUUUGUCCUCAAACUUUGAAACAACUAGUGAACUUUUAGGGUCAGACAAGCGGUCUGGAUUUGCUGCAAAUGAUUAUUUCAGAAUGGAAAAAGUUACUGUUCUUCCAUGGUUACCACGAACCACAGCAGCUGUCGCUCUAAGGGUCAUGGAGUUUGACUCAUCCAUUUCAUACACGCUGCAUCAAAAAGUGGAGUCUCAGAAGGACAGAGGCAAUGGAGACUUCAUUAAGCUCCCUUCCAAGUUUGCCAUUGUGAAAAACACCCAAGAUAAUGAAGCCGCUGAAACUCGUCAUCAAGCUGGAUUAUUGCAAGAAGAUAGUUGGGUUGAUGUAGCUGGAUUGAGUCGACGGGGGAGUCGAGGCCGAGGUCGUGGUCGUACCCGUGGGGGGAGAUCUCAGAGAAGGGUUACUGGUUCAAGAUCAGAAUCUGGCAAGAGAAGUGUGGCCACGAACAACGACAGAUUAGGGCAGGUGCUCUCAUGGAAAACACAAUCACGUGGUCGAGGAGGGCGUAAGCGGGGCCGUCGCAGCAUUAGAAGUAGGCAGAAACCUGUGAAGAGACCAGUUGAGACACAAAUCCCCAAAGAAACAAUCCAUGAGAAAGCACCAAGAAGGUUGGAAAGGGAUGACUGGAAUGGUGAUGAAGCAAGAUUCCAAGUAGACAAUGCUGAAAAUCUCAGCAGCUCAGAAAGAUCUGAGUAUGAUGAUGACAAUGGUCAAGCUACAGGAGAUGAAUAUGAUGAUCUUGCAGUGGAUGACUAUGCUGGUGGUUUUAAUGGCAAGUCCGAUGACUUGCUGGAGGGAAGUGAUUAUAAUAUAGAUGUCAAUGAAGAUGACGACGAUGACGAUGAAGUAGAUGAAGAUGAAGAUGAUGAACAAGGGGAUAUGGAAGUGGCAGGAUAUAUAAAUGGGGACUCGGAUGAGGAUGAAAUGAGAGAUGGAGAAGGAGAACAGAAUGGGGACCCAGAUGAAGGCAUUGGAUCUACAUCUUCAGAUUUCAGUGACUAGAGAAGUAAGCAAGCAUAAAAAAAUGUUAAAUGCACAAGAAAAGUUAUUUCUAAUUUGUAUUCUUUAGUGUUCUGCAGCGCUAACUGAACUUGAUGAUGUAUUUAUAGAAGAAAACAGUAAUUGUGCAUAGCUA